rnacentral:misc_RNA from 1 species
GAAAUGCGAUAAGUAAUGUGAAUUGCAGAAUUCAGUGAAUCAUCGAAUCUUUGAACGCACAUUGCGCCCGCCAGUAUUCUGGCGGGCAUGCCUGUUCGAGCGUCAUUUCAACCAUCAAGCCCCCGGGCCUGUGUUGGGGACCUGCGGCUGCCCGCAGGCCCCGAAAACCAGUGGCGGGCUCGCUGUCACCCCGAGCGUAGUAGCAACACCUCGCCCAGGGAGUGCCGCGGGUUCCGGCCGUAAAACCUCGCCCUCGCGGCGAGAACACCCCCCCCAAGGUUGACCUCGGAUCAGGUAGGAAGACCCGCUGAACUUAAGC